GGUACGAGAUUCAAAUUCAGCAGUGGAGGUGAGAGAGAGACCUGCCCCUGACGCCACGGGUAUUUAUAUAUUCCCUCAUUUUCAUUUCAAUUCUUUGCUUUUAAAAGAGAGCAAGAGAAGUAUCUACUAAUAACAUUUCCAUACCACACACCUCUCCCAAAAAGCAAACUCAGCUCUAAAAACGGAAACUUUUAGAUCAGGACAUUGCCACAGGCAAAGGACACCCUCGUCAUUUCCCUAAGUUCCUCCCACUCUUCCUCCUCCGCCUGCAACUAGAGAGAGAAAGGCCGUGCGAAGCUAACUGGUUACUGUGCUUUUCAAGACGCUUGUAUAGGAAGAGAAAGAGAAGGCAAACAAAACACCUUUGUUUCUUCAUCUCUUGCUCUAUUUAUCCCUUUUAUUUAUAUUUACUGUUCAAAUCAACUUGCAUUUCCUUGCUUGCUUGCUAAAACUAGAUAGAGGUAAGACUAGAAACCACUAUUAAAGUAAUAAUGGAGAGGAGCACUCCGGUUCGGAAAUCACACACUUCUACUGCAGAUCUGCUCACUUGGUCUGAGAAUCCGCCGGCUGAUUCCCCCUCCGUUGGCUCCGCUCCUCGCUCUGCUGCCCGCUCUCACCAGCCGUCCGAUGGGAUCAGUAAGGUAGUGUUUGGAGGUCAAGUUACGGAUGAGGAGUUUGAGAGCUUAAACAAAAGGAAACCUUGUUCAGGGUAUAAAAUGAAGGAGAUGACUGGUAGUGGCAUUUUUGCAGCCAAUGGAGCAAAUGAUGCAUCUGGUGAUGCCAAUCCCACACCAAAUAACAAAACAGGACUACGUAUGUACCAGCAAGCACUUGCUGGAAUCAGUCAUAUUUCAUUUGGAGAAGAAGAGAGUGUUUCUCCCAAAAAACCUUCUACUUUGCCUGAGGUGGCAAAGCAACGGGAGCUAAGUGGGACCUUAGAAAGUGAGGCAGAGAGAGAGGCCAGGUUGAAGAAGCAGC
rnacentral:misc_RNA from 1 species